AGCCUGCUGCUUGAUGUUCUUUCACAGGAAAAAGUGCAGAGGCACCUCAAACCCUCCUGCCUUCUCCCUUCUCCCUCCUCCCUCCUGCAUCAGAUUAACCACCCCACUCCAUAGCUGACCUGCUGGAAAGAAAGAACAGUGGCCUGCACAGGGCCUAAAGGCAUCUGGACCUGCCUGAAUCCAGCUCCUCAGGGGCUCUCUGCUGGGAAAAGUCCUAAGAAACGGGCUACUGCAGUUUCUGCCCUUCCCAAGGCACAGACUGUUGCUACUUUAGUCCAUGCUUGGCUUGAAGUCCCCUGCAGCCUAACCUCUUGUGGUAGGAGGGCCUGAGUUCCAGAAGACUGACAGUGAUGCAGAUGAGAUAUUCCUACCUGGCCAGCCCUUGCUAAUGGCAAGAAGGAAUGAAGAUCAGCUGGCGCAGCUGCUCUGUUGCCCCAGGAUUCACUGCUACAGAGAACAACACACCCUGGCCGGAGCAGGCGUCAGUUCUCCAGCUCUGAGCAUUACAGACUUUCCAAGAGCCAGGCCAGUAGUGCUGCUCAGCCAGCAGCCUGGCAGCAGAGGCCACCCCUGGACUCCUCCUAUGCCCCUAGCCACAGGCUGAGGUCUCCAGACCCCAUCUCAGCAGCUCUGUAGUAUGGUGUCACAUUGUACCUGGUUCCCAUUCCCUGGCCAUUUUCCCACUUGCUAUGUUUAAUGUAUAGUGUGAACAUUUGGCAAGCAUACGGAGAGCAGGGGCUUAAAAUCCAUAGUAACUCAGAGGCCUUCACCUUCAACAGGCUAUGUUUAAUGUAUAGUGUGAACAUUUGGCGAGCAUACAGAGAGCAGGGGCUUAAAAUCCAUAGUAACUCAGAGGCCUUCACCUUCAACAGGUUCAUCUCAUUGCCCCCACCUUCAUACCAACAUUUGAAAGAACUUGGGUGGGUGUCUGCUUUCUUCUUCUAUCUUGUGAAUCACAGCAGUCAAACUCAGUCCAGUCUUGGCAGCAAGCACCUAUACCAGCAGAGCCAUUUCACCAGCCCCAGUCGUCCUUUUCUACAGACAGAUCUGCAUCUACAUUGUUGAACAUCUAUUGUUUGUCUUUUCCUCAUCAAUCUUUAGGAAGAAAAGGUAGGAGAAUAUCCCAGAGUGGGGCUAGCCUGGGCUUCACCUCCAGUGUGGGGCUACCCUUGCCUCCAUCUGCAGUGUGAGGCUAACUUAGGUUCCACCUCCAGUGUGGGGCUAGCCUGGGCCCCACCUCCAGUGUGGGGCUAACCUGGGCUCCACUUCCAGUGUGAGGCUAGCCUUGCCUCCACCUCCAGUGUGAGGCUAGCCUGGACUCCAUAGUGAAUACCGUCUAGCACUCAGGAGCAAAGGGGACCAAGAACUCAAAGUCUGUGUGAAGAGAGCUUGAUGGAUUAAGUGCAUGCAUGAGGACUGGAAUUCAGAUCCCCAGCCGUAUGUAAAAACCUGAGCAUGUCAACCCGUGCCUAUAACCCUAGAGAGGAAGACAGCCAGUCUAGCUCAAACGGCAAGCCCCAGGUUCAGUCAGAAACCCUGUCUGGAAAAGAAAGAAAGAAAGGAAGAAAGAAAGAAAGAAAGAAAGAAAGAAAGAAAGAAAGAAAGAAAGAAAGAAAGAAAGAAAGAAAGAAAGAAAGAAAGAUAGAAGAGAGAGAGAGAGAGGGAGAGAAGGAAAGAGAAAGGAAAGAGAAAGAAAGAGAAAGGAAAGAAAGAGAAAGAGAUAGAAGAAGGCAUCUGAGACAUCUGAUUCACAUAUGCACACACAUGCAUAAUACACACACAUGCAAAUACAUAUGUGCACAUGUGCAUGCACACAUACAUACACAUAUGCACACACAUAUAUAAACACACGCACACAAACAUACACAUGCCUGUGCACACACACACAGAGGCAAGUUCAAGAUCAUUUUUGCUAUGAUAGUUACCUUUCUUAUCUCUGUAACAAAACACCCGAGGAAAGUAACCUAAGAAAAGGCUUCUUUCAGUUUCCAGGCUCGGGGUCCAGCCCUUCAUGAUGUGGAAGCAGGCAGCAGGAGUGUGAGGGAGCUCGGCUCACUGUGUUUACAGGCAGGGAACAAGACCCAUGAAUGGUGGUGUUCAACAUUCAGCUCGUUUGCCUUCUGUUUUUCUUUGGUUUGGUUUGAUUUGCUUUCUUUAUUUGCUUUUUUCAAGCAGGAUUUCUCUGUGUAGCCCUGGCUGUCCUGCAGUUCGACCUGUAGACCAGGCUGGCCUUCAACACAGACAUCCAUCUACCUCCACCUUCCAAGUGUUGGGGUGGAAGGUAUACCGUGUCUAGUCCAUCUCUUGCUUUUUUUUUUCUUCAGUGCAAGACUCCAUUCUGUGGAAGGGUGGCUGCUUGCAUUCAAAUUUGUCUCCCCUUCCCUGUUAAAUCUCUCUGAAACCCUCACAGACCUGUGCAGAGAGGUGUCUCACGGUGAUUCUACACCCAGUCAGACCGAAAAUGAAGAUAACCAUCACACUUGACUACGUAGUCAAUUUUAGGCCAGCCUGUGCUACCUGAGACACAAAAAGAAGCUCAUCUUGUAUUGAUCAUAUUCUUUUGAAAAUGUUUCCCUUGUCUGUAGUUUAUUGGCAUCAGUUUAUGAUUGACUCUUAUGACAACAUAAUUUAAAUUUGAUCGUAGUUGAUUUUGUCCCUCUAUUUUACUGUUUUUUGUUUGGGUGUGUUUUCAAGACAGGACUUCUUUGUGUAGUUCUGACUGUCCUGAAACUCGCUAUAUAGACCAAGCUGGCUUCAACCCCAGAGACAUGCCUGCGUCUGCCUCCUGAGUGCUGAGAUUAAAGGCAUGUGCCACUAUGCCUGGUUACAAUUUGAUUUUAAAUAUCCCACUGAAGAAAUAUUUCCCCAUCAAAGGCCAAAAAGAAGUCUUUUUUAUUAUUCAACAAAAACGUUUUAGCUCUUGGAGGGGAACUCAGAGCCUCAUGCAAGCUAAGUAGAGGUCUACCUCAGAUCAAUAUUCCUGGCCCUUCCCUUUAUUCUAAAAGUUUCAAGUUUUGCUUUGACUAGAUCUUCCAUUCACACAGAGCUUGCACCUGGAAUGGUAAAGGAGACCUCUGGUGUACAAUGGUCACACUGAACACUGUCCUGGCACUGAUGCCCGCCUGCCCCCGCUAUAGGCCUUGUUCUCAUUCAUCUGUCGGCUGCUGGCUGAGCCCUGAGGCUCUGCUGGUCUAUGACAAUCAUGCUGCAAAGCCUUCUCUUCACACCUGCACAUUAGAGGAGCUCUCUCCUCCAGGAACAUCGCUAUUUCUAGUUCACUGAGCAAAGAAAAACAAGACAAACAACCAAACAAAUAAAACCCUUUUAAAACCAGCACAAGUACAGUUACAAACUAGCAGGGGUUUUCGAUUGCAGCUUUUUAAAAUUUACCUGGGAACUGUGCUAAACCACUCACGGUGACAAUGAAUUAAGCACCUUUGACAGCUUUCCUGGCCACGGUGUAUCUUAUUUGUCCAUUUAAACAUUAGUGCGUUUGCCAUUAGGUUCAUAGAUCAUUGUUUUCCUGGUGUGUGCAUGAAUGAACAUGUGUGUGCAUGAGUGCAUGUGUGUGUGUGCACAUGCACGUGUGUGUGUGUGUGUGUGUGUGUGUGUGUGUGUGUGUGUGUGUGUGUUUACACAAUGAUUCACGUUAACAGCACUUAGGAAUGUUAGGAGUUUUGCCUUAAAAUUGACUUGGUCUAAUGUUAAUUCAACAAUCUCAGCUUCUUUUAGGUCAGUUUUUGCUUGAAAUUUUUUUUGUACGGAUUUACUUUGAACCUUCAUUGUUCUGUUCCAGGCAUGUUUAGUAUUGUCCUGAAGUGAACCUGAUAUUAUGCGUCAGCACCGAUCCAUAACUGUGAUGACUAACGUGAUUUUACGCUUCUGAUUCACCCCACUUUUUCUUCUCCUUUCCUAUUUUGGAGCCUUUAGAUUUCCUUUAUUCCACCUGUCUUUCACUAGUGGCCUGAGAGAUGUACGCUCUGCUGUUUCUGCUUCACUGGCUUACACGUAAGACUGUAGUGGAGUGUCCCCAACUCCACAGUGACUGGCGGCAUCUUUAACCUUCUUCUGGAUGAUGGAAAGGCCUGGAGAUGUCAACGCUGGUCUCAUUUCCAUCUUUCAUGGAGGUUUGCAUGCAUGCUCACCCAUCACCACAAUCAAGAUCAAGACCACUUUGCUUCCAAAGCCCUAACAGCCAGAACAAUCACAGUUAUAGCAGCCACUCACAUGAUUGAGGGGCUUCUCACAGUGGCUCUGUGAAUGGUAUGCACCGCGAAUUUACU
rnacentral:lncRNA from 1 species